AGAGUUUGAUCAUGGCUCAGGACGAACGCUGGCGGCACGCUUAACACAUGCAAGUCGAACGAGAGAAGAGGAGCUUGCUCUUCUGAUCUAGUGGCGGACGGGUGAGUAACACGUGAGCAAUCUGCCUUUCAGAGGGGGAUACCGAUUGGAAACGAUCGUUAAUACCGCAUAACAUAAUUGAACCGCAUGAUUUGAUUAUCAAAGAUUUAUCGCUGAAAGAUGAGCUCGCGUCUGAUUAGCUAGUUGGUAAGGUAACGGCUUACCAAGGCGACGAUCAGUAGCCGGACUGAGAGGUUGAUCGGCCACAUUGGGACUGAGACACGGCCCAGACUCCUACGGGAGGCAGCAGUGGGGAAUAUUGCACAAUGGAGGAAACUCUGAUGCAGCGAUGCCGCGUGAGGGAAGAAGGUUUUAGGAUUGUAAACCUCUGUCUUCAGGGACGAAAAAAGACGGUACCUGAGGAGGAAGCUCCGGCUAACUACGUGCCAGCAGCCGCGGUAAUACGUAGGGAGCGAGCGUUGUCCGGAAUUACUGGGUGUAAAGGGAGCGUAGGCGGGAUCGCAAGUCAGAUGUGAAAACUAUGGGCUUAACCCAUAAACUGCAUUUGAAACUGUGGUUCUUGAGUGAAGUAGAGGUAAGCGGAAUUCCUAGUGUAGCGGUGAAAUGCGUAGAUAUUAGGAGGAACAUCAGUGGCGAAGGCGGCUUACUGGGCUUUAACUGACGCUGAGGCUCGAAAGCGUGGGGAGCAAACAGGAUUAGAUACCCUGGUAGUCCACGCCGUAAACGAUGAUUACUAGGUGUGGGGGACUGACCCCUUCCGUGCCGCAGCAAACGCAAUAAGUAAUCCACCUGGGGAGUACGACCGCAAGGUUGAAACUCAAAGGAAUUGACGGGGGCCCGCACAAGCAGUGGAGUAUGUGGAUUAAUUCGAAGCAACGCGAAGAACCUUACCAGGUCUUGACAUCGUAUGCAUAGCUCAGAGAUGAGUGAAAUCUCUUCGGAGACAUAUAGACAGGUGGUGCAUGGUUGUCGUCAGCUCGUGUCGUGAGAUGUUGGGUUAAGUCCCGCAACGAGCGCAACCCUUACUGUUAGUUGCUACGCAAGAGCACUCUAGCAGGACUGUCGUUGACAAAACGGAGGAAGGUGGGGAUGACGUCAAAUCAUCAUGCCCCUUAUGACCUGGGCCUCACACGUACUACAAUGGCUGUCAACAGAGGGAAGCAAAGCCGCGAGGUGGAGCGAACCCCUAAAAGCAGUCUUAGUUCGGAUUGUAGGCUGCAACCCGCCUACAUGAAGUCGGAAUUGCUAGUAAUCGCAGAUCAGCAUGCUGCGGUGAAUACGUUCCCGGGCCUUGUACACACCGCCCGUCACGCCAUGGGAGUCGGUAACACCCGAAGCCUGUAGUCUAACCGCAAGGAGGACGCAGUCGAAGGUGGGAUUGAUGACUGGGGUGAAGUCGUAACAAGGUA
rnacentral:rRNA from 1 species